UACGUAGGUGGCGAGCGUUGUCCUGAAUUACUGGGCGUAAAGGAUGCGUAGGCGGAUAUUUAAGUCAGAUGUGAAAUCCCUGGGCUCAACCCGGGAAUGGCAUUUGAAACUGGAUAUCUAGAGUGCAGGAGAGGAAAGCGGAAUUCCUAGUGUAGCGGUGAAAUGCGUAGAUAUUAGGAAGAACACCAGUGGCGAAGGCGGCUUUCUGGACUGUAACUGACGCUGAGGCAUGAAAGCGUGGGGAGCAAACAGG
rnacentral:rRNA from 1 species